rnacentral:rRNA from 1 species
GACGUAGGGGGCAAGCGUUGUCCGGAUUUAUUGGGCGUAAAGAGCGUGUAGGCGGCCAGACAGGUCUGCUGUGAAAACUCGAGGCUCAACCUCGAGACGCCGGUGGAAACCGUUUGGCUAGAGUCCGGAAGAGGAGAGUGGAAUUCCUGGUGUAGCGGUGAAAUGCGCAGAUAUCAGGAAGAACACCCGUGGCUAAGGCGGCUCUCUAGUACGGUACUGACGCUGAGACGCGAAAGCGUGGGGAGCGAACAGG